rnacentral:misc_RNA from 1 species
GAUGAAGAACGCAGCGAAAUGCGAUACUUGGUGUGAAUUGCAGAAUCCCGUGAACCAUCGAGUCUUUGAACGCAAGUUGCGCCCGAAGCCAUUAGGCCGAGGGCACGCCUGCCUGGGCGUCACACGUCGUUGCCCCCCCAUCUACUCCUUCGGGAUUGCGGGGGGCGGAUGAUGGCCUCCCGUGCGCCUCGCCGCGCGGUUGGCAUAAAUGCCAAGUCCUCGGCGACGCACGCCACGACAAUCGGUGGUUGCGAAACCUCGGUUGCCCGUCGUGUGCGGUCGUCGCGCAUCGAGGGCUCGAAAAAAUUGCCGGGUUCCGGCUCGGCUUUCAACGCGACCCCAGGUCAGGCGGGGUUACCCGCUGAGUUUAAGCAUAUCAAUAAGCGGAGGA